GACGUAGGGUCGCGAGCGUUGUCCGGAUUAUUGGGCGUAAAGAGCUCGUAGGCGGCUUGUCACGUCGGGUGUGAAAGCCCGGGGCUUAACCCCGGGUCUGCAUUCGAUACGGGCAGGCUAGAGUGUGGUAGGGGAGAUCGGAAUUCCUGGUGUAGCGGUGAAAUGCGUAGAGAUCGGGAAGAACAUCGGUGGCGAAAGCGCUCUACUGGGCCAUAACUGACACUCAUGCACGAAAGCGUGGGGAGCAAACAGG
rnacentral:rRNA from 1 species